rnacentral:piRNA from 1 species
UCGUAAGGCUCAUUUGGAGAUUGAAUUU